rnacentral:rRNA from 1 species
GGGUUGUGAGGUUAAGUGACUAAGCGUACACGGUGGAUGCCUAGGCAGUCAGAGGCGAUGAAGGGCGUGCUAAUCUGCGAAAAGCGUCGGUAAGGUGAUAUGAACCGUUAUAACCGGCGAUACCCGAAUGGGGAAACCCAGUGUGUUUCGACACACUAUCAUGUCAUGAAUACAUAGUGGCAUGAGGCGAACCGGGGGAACUGAAACAUCUAAGUACCCCGAGGAAAAGAAAUCAACCGAGAUUCCCCCAGUAGCGGCGAGCGAACGGGGAGGAGCCCAGAACCUGAAUCGGCUUGUGUGUUAGUGGAAGCGUCUGGAAAGUCGCGCAGCAAAGGGUGAUAGCCCCGUACACUAAAAUGCACAGGUCGUGAGUUCGAUGAGUAGGGCGGGACACGUGACAUCCUGUCUGAAUAUGGGGGGACCAUCCUCCAAGGCUAAAUACUCCUGACUGACCGAUAGUGAACCAGUACCGUGAGGGAAAGGCGAAAAGAACCCCGGCGAGGGGAGUGAAAUAGAACCUGAAACCGUGUACGUACAAGCAGUGGGAGCACCUUCGUGGUGUGACUGCGUACCUUUUGUAUAAUGGGUCAGCGACUUAUAUUUUGUAGCAAGGUUAACCGUAUAGGGGAGCCGUAGGGAAACCGAGUCUUAACUGGGCGAAUAGUUGCAAGGUAUAGACCCGAAACCCGGUGAUCUAGCCAUGGGCAGGUUGAAGGUUGGGUAACACUAACUGGAGGACCGAACCGACUAAUGUUGAAAAAUUAGCGGAUGACUUGUGGCUGGGGGUGAAAGGCCAAUCAAACCGGGAGAUAGCUGGUUCUCCCCGAAAGCUAUUUAGGUAGCGCCUCGUGAACUCAUCUUCGGGGGUAGAGCACUGUUUCGGCUAGGGGGCCAUCCCGGCUUACCAAACCGAUGCAAACUCCGAAUACCGAAGAAUGUUAUCACGGGAGACACACGGCGGGUGCUAACGUCCGUCGUGAAGAGGGAAACAACCCAGACCGCCAGCUAAGGUCCCAAAGUCAUGGUUAAGUGGGAAACGAUGUGGGAAGGCAUAGACAGCCAGGAUGUUGGCUUAGAAGCAGCCAUCAUUUAAAGAAAGCGUAAUAGCUCACUGGUCGAGUCGGCCUGCGCGGAAGAUGUAACGGGGCUAAACCAUGCACCGAAGCUGCGGCAGCGACGCUUAGGCGUUGUUGGGUAGGGGAGCGUUCUGUAAGCCGUUGAAGGUGGCCUGUGAGGGUUGCUGGAGGUAUCAGAAGUGCGAAUGCUGACAUAAGUAACGAUAAAGCGGGUGAAAAGCCCGCUCGCCGGAAGACCAAGGGUUCCUGUCCAACGUUAAUCGGGGCAGGGUGAGUCGACCCCUAAGGCGAGGCUGAAAAGCGUAGUCGAUGGGAAACAGGUUAAUAUUCCUGUACUUGGUGUUACUGCGAAGGGGGGACGGAGAAGGCUAGGCUAGCCGGGCGACGGUUGUCCCGGUUUAAGCGUGUAGGGGGUGUGACCUGGUAAAUCCGGUUGCAUAUCAACCCUGAGGCGUGAUGACGAUGCACUACGGUGCAGAAGUAGUUGAUGCCCUGCUUCCAGGAAAAUCCUCUAAGCUCCAGGUAACAUUAAAUCGUACCCCAAACCGACACAGGUGGUCAGGUAGAGAAUACCAAGGCGCUUGAGAGAACUCGGGUGAAGGAACUAGGCAAAAUGGUGCCGUAACUUCGGGAGAAGGCACGCUGGCAUGUAGGUGAAGUCCCUUGCGGAUGGAGCUGAAGCCAGUCGAAGAUACCAGCUGGCUGCAACUGUUUAAUAAAAACACAGCACUGUGCAAACACGAAAGUGGACGUAUACGGUGUGACGCCUGCCCGGUGCUGGAAGGUUAAUUGAUGGGGUCAGCCGCAAGGCGAAGCUCUUGAUCGAAGCCCCAGUAAACGGCGGCCGUAACUAUAACGGUCCUAAGGUAGCGAAAUUCCUUGUCGGGUAAGUUCCGACCUGCACGAAUGGCGUAAUGAUGGCCAGGCUGUCUCCACCCGAGACUCAGUGAAAUUGAACUCGCUGUGAAGAUGCAGUGUACCCGCGGCAAGACGGAAAGACCCCGUGAACCUUUACUAUAGCUUGACACUGAACAUUGAGCCUUGAUGUGUAGGAUAGGUGGGAGGCUUUGAAGCGUGGACGCCAGUCUGCGUGGAGCCAUCCUUGAAAUACCACCCUUUAAUGUUUGAUGUUCUAACUCGGCCCCGUAAUCCGGGGUGAGGACAGUGUCUGGUGGGUAGUUUGACUGGGGCGGUCUCCUCCCAAAGAGUAACGGAGGAGCACGAAGGUUAGCUAAUCACGGUCGGACAUCGUGAGGUUAGUGCAAAGGCAUAAGCUAGCUUGACUGCGAGAGUGACGGCUCGAGCAGGUACGAAAGUAGGUCUUAGUGAUCCGGUGGUUCUGAAUGGAAGGGCCAUCGCUCAACGGAUAAAAGGUACUCCGGGGAUAACAGGCUGAUACCGCCCAAGAGUUCAUAUCGACGGCGGUGUUUGGCACCUCGAUGUCGGCUCAUCACAUCCUGGGGCUGAAGUAGGUCCCAAGGGUAUGGCUGUUCGCCAUUUAAAGUGGUACGCGAGCUGGGUUUAGAACGUCGUGAGACAGUUCGGUCCCUAUCUGCCGUGGGCGUUGGAAGAUUGAGAGGGGUUGCUCCUAGUACGAGAGGACCGGAGUGAACGCACCACUGGUGUUCGGGUUGUCAUGCCAAUGGCAUUGCCCGGUAGCUAAGUGCGGAAAAGAUAAGCGCUGAAAGCAUCUAAGCGCGAAACUUGCCUCAAGAUGAGUCUUCCCUGGGCCUUUAAGGUCCCUGAAGGAACGUUUAAGACUAAGACGUUGAUAGGCUGGGUGUGUAAGUGCAGCGAUGCAUUGAGCUAACCAGUACUAAUGAUCCGUGAGGCUUAACCUUACAACACCGAAGGUGUUU